rnacentral:tRNA from 1 species
GCGUCUGUCGUUCAAUGGAUAGGACGCGGGAUUGCGGAUCCCGUAAUAGGGGUUCGACUCCUCUCAGACGCA